UACGUAGGGGGCUAGCGUUGUCCGGAUUUAUUGGGCGUAAAGAGCGUGUAGGCGGCCAGGUAGGUCUGCUGUGAAAACUCGAGGCUCAACCUCGAGACGUCGGCGGAAACCGUCUGGCUAGAGUCCGGAAGAGGAGAGUGGAAUUCCCGGUGUAGCGGUGAAAUGCGCAGAUAUCGGGAAGAACACCCGUGGCGAAGGCGGCUCUCUGGGACGGUACUGACGCUGAGACGCGAAAGCGUGGGGAGCGAACAGG
rnacentral:rRNA from 1 species